rfam:PVC group bacterium (ex Bugula neritina AB1) isolate AB1-3 AB834_contig000056, whole genome shotgun sequence.
AGGAAAGUGGCAGAGUUGGUUAAUUGUGCUUGAUUGUAGUCCAAGUCCUUAUCAGAGGUACGUAGGUUCAAAUCCUAUCUUUCCUA